GAUGAAGAACGCAGCGAAAUGCGAUAAGUAAUGCGAAUUGCAGAAUUCCAGUGAGUCAUCGAAUCUUUGAACGCACAUUGCGCCCUUUGGUAUUCCAAAGGGCAUGCCUGUUCGAGCGUCAUUUGUACCCUCAAGCUUUGCUUGGUGUUGGGCGUCUUGUCUCUAGCUUUGCUGGAGACUCGCCUUAAAGUAAUUGGCAGCCGGCCUACUGGUUUCGGAGCGCAGCACAAGUCGCACUCUCUAUCAGCAAAGGUCUAGCAUCCAUUAAGCCUUUUUUUCAACUUUUGACCUCGGAUCAGGUAGGGAUACCCGCUGAACUUAAGCAUAUCAAUAAGCGGAGGA
rnacentral:misc_RNA from 1 species